UACAGAGGGGGCAAGCGUUGUUCGGAUUUACUGGGCUUAAAGGGCGUGUAGGCGUCCUGGUAAGUCAGAUGUGGAAGCCUUGGGCUCAACCCAAGAAUUGCAUUUGAGACUAUCAGGAUUGAGUCGUGCAAGGGAGGGCGGAAUUCCUGGUGUAGCGGUGAAAUGCGUAGAUAUCAGGAGGAAGGCCGGUGGCGAAGGUGGCCCUCUGGGCAAUGACUGACGCUGAGGCGCGAAAGCGUGGGUAGCAAACAGG
rnacentral:rRNA from 1 species